rnacentral:rRNA from 1 species
UGACAGUUUUUAUCCUACCUGUCUUGACUAAACUGCGUGCCAGCAGUCGCGGUAAUACGUAUAAGACUAGUGUUAUUCAUAUUUAAUAGGUUUAAAGGGUAAAUAGGCGGUAAAUAAAGCCUUUAAGAGGAACUAAUUUGCUAGAGUUAUAAAUGAGGAGGUUAAAAAGUACUGGUGGUGUAGAGAUGAAAUUCAUUAAUACCUUUUUUCGAAAGAACUAGACACGGCACAGAUUAAGGCGUAAGCAUCUUCUUAUAUAAUAACUGACGUUGAGGAACGAAGGCUUCAUAAAACAAAAAGGAUUAGGUACCCUCGUAGUUGAUAGCAGACAAUAAUGAGUGUCAUGAAAUAGAUAUUUAUUUCAUAAAUUAUAAUGUAAACACUCCACCUCAAGAGUAAUUUGGCAACAUUGAAACUGAAAUCAUUAGACCGUUUCUGAAACCAGUAGUGAAGUAUGUUGUUUAAUUAGAUAAUCCACAAAAAACCUUACCAAAACUAGUUCAAAUUUGAACAGGUGUACUAUUCAACUUGAAUAAUUAUAUUUUAUAAUUACAGGUGCUGCACGGCUGUCUUCAGCUAAUGUCGCGAGAUUUUGGUUAGUUCCAUUAAAUCAGCGUAAACCCUUGUUUUAUUUUCAAAUAAAAUAGUUCUCCAAUAAAUUG